UUUAUUUCUUCUUGUAUUUAUCAGUGGCCGUGUGGGGAUUGUUUGAAUUACAUCAUUUCGCAUGCUUGCUAAAUAGCACUGUAGCGUUUUGAUAAAACUAUUGUAAACAUUAUUCAUUAUGAUGGAAGAACUUGUUGCAGUUUGAUAGUAGCUGGAUAUUGAAAUAUCUCAUUUUGAACUCUAAGAGGGCACGCGUGUUCUAGAACGACAAGUUAUUCCACAUCAGUUAAGAAAGCAUUCUCGUGUACAUUGACUUCUUUCUAAGACACCGCAGGAGGGACCUUUUGGAACAGAAAUAAACGAUCUUAUUUUGAACUCUAAGAGGACACACGCGUUCAAGAACGACAAGUUAUUCCACAUCAGUUAAGAAAGCA